rnacentral:rRNA from 1 species
ACCGGCGCACGGGUGCGUAACGCGUAUGCAAUCUACCUUUCACAGAGGGAUAGCCCAGAGAAAUUUGGAUUAAUACCUCAUAGUAUAGCAGUUUCGCAUGAAACCACUAUUAAAGUCACAACGGUGAAAGAUGAGCAUGCGUCCCAUUAGCUAGAUGGUAAGGUAACGGCUUACCAUGGCAACGAUGGGUAGGGGUCCUGAGAGGGAGAUCCCCCACACUGGUACUGAGACACGGACCAGACUCCUACGGGAGGCAGCAGUGAGGAAUAUUGGACAAUGGGCGCAAGCCUGAUCCAGCCAUGCCGCGUGCAGGAUGACGGUCCUAUGGAUUGUAAACUGCUUUUGUACAGGAAGAAACACCUCUACGUGUAGAGACUUGACGGUACUGUAAGAAUAAGGAUCGGCUAACUCCGUGCCAGCAGCCGCGGUAAUACGGAGGAUCCAAGCGUUAUCCGGAAUCAUUGGGUUUAAAGGGUCCGUAGGCGGUUUAGUAAGUCAGUGGUGAAAGCCCAUCGCUCAACGGUGGAACGGCCAUUGAUACUGCUAAACUUGAAUUAUUAGGAAGUAACUAGAAUAUGUAGUGUAGCGGUGAAAUGCUUAGAGAUUACAUGGAAUACCAAUUGCGAAGGCAGGUUACUACUAAUGGAUUGACGCUGAUGGACGAAAGCGUGGGUAGCGAACAGGAUUAGA